rnacentral:lncRNA from 1 species
CCGAAACUCGCCAAAAACAUGGUGUAAAAGCUAAAUAUAUUCAUACAUACUUUAAAUAAAAUAACUGAAGAAUAAAAUUACUUUUACAGUGACACAUGGGCCCCCAACUAACUAAGAAGAUGUAGGGCUAUGAACCCUUACUUUCUAGGAUGCAACUCCGAGAUUAAUUCUCGUCUUAAUCAACUAUCAACAAAUUGUCCUUAGCUUGAAAAAUGGAUAGGAAGAGGGGUGAGAUUAUGAUUACAUAAUCCCAAUGAGUAAACAAUUACCAUCAAAAGCAUCUAAAGCCGAGUAGAUGGAGACAAUAUAAA